rnacentral:rRNA from 1 species
AGAGUUUGAUCCUGGCUCAGAUUGAACGCUGGCGGCAUGCCUUACACAUGCAAGUCGAACGGCAGCGGACCUUCGGGUGCCGGCGAGUGGCGAACGGGUGAGUAAUGUAUCGGAACGUACCUUUCAGUGGGGGAUAACGUAGCGAAAGUUACGCUAAUACCGCAUAUUCUGUGAGCAGGAAAGCAGGGGAUCGCAAGACCUUGCGCUGAUUGAGCGGCCGAUAUCAGAUUAGCUAGUUGGUGAGGUAAAGGCUCACCAAGGCGACGAUCUGUAGCGGGUCUGAGAGGAUGAUCCGCCACACUGGAACUGAGACACGGUCCAGACUCCUACGGGAGGCAGCAGUGGGGAAUUUUGGACAAUGGGGGCAACCCUGAUCCAGCCAUGCCGCGUGAGUGAAGAAGGCCUUCGGGUUGUAAAGCUCUUUCGGCCGGG